rnacentral:tRNA from 1 species
GCCUGGGUGGCUCAGUCAGUUGAGCGUCUGACUUCGGCUCAGGUCACGAUCUCGUGGUCUGUGAGUUCGAGCCCCGCGUCGGGCU